rnacentral:lncRNA from 1 species
UCGAGUUUCAUCUCACCAAUGAAAACAAGUGAUAUCUAAUCAAAUGUGUUGUCGAUGUUUCAGAUCCAGAUUCUCCGUCGAAACCUAACAAUGGUAGAGAUAUCUCCCACAACUACGCGUCUCCAUUGGGAACCUCCUGUUAAAGUGCAUGGAAGAUUCCACGGAUACACCAUAAAGAAAUGCGAGAAGUUUACUUCAUGUGAACGAGGAGAAAACAUGCAUGCUUGCUCCGAAAGCCACACGCUUGAAGAAUGGCUGGACAUCAAUAACUACGUCAACAGCGAACUUUGCGUGCUGGUGACAGCAAGGGCAAGAUGUGGAUCACAAACAUUAAGCAGUCGGCCACUGGUGGGAAAACUUACAAACAUUUCAUUUGUGGUGCCUAAAGUGGCGAACGUUACUCUAAUAGAUGUUGGGCCUGAUUACUUCACCGUCUCCUGGAUCAAACCAGCCGUGAGCUUCGACUACUACUGGGUGGAGGUGUUGUACAUUGGCGAUGAAAGCGACAUGCUUACACCCCAUCGAGUGGGUUCUUGUGCUAAUGGCACUGUCGUACACCGCAGUCAAACUCAGAUCACCUGCGACAAAUUUAAGGCAUGUGCCUACGUAACUUUCACAGUGCACGCGCAUGUCGAGACUGCCUCGCAGCUCACAUUCCCUGGAACAACGUUGAGAGGUAUUUUUCUCCCAGGAAAAGAUCUUCCUGAAGUAAGGCUGCUGAAAUUGACACAGAUGUACAAGGAUUCCAUAACUGUUUCCUGGCAACGACCGGAGCGCUGCUUUGACGGCUACAUAGUAGAAGUCGCUCCAGAAAACAGCGGAAGCAGUGGUGGCGGGGGCCUCAGUGCGGGCUCCUGUGCGGGUGGUACCUACUGUUGACGCGCAACAAACUAGCAUCACGUGCAGAAAAAUUGAAGCUUGCAGCGUGAAAAUCACCGUACGUACGCACAGAAAAGGACAUCUGGAGUUUACUCACCUGGUGUCACCCUGAACAACGUUGUCAUGUACAAAAAAGAUAUUCCAGAGGUGCUGCCGACGCUUGAAGGGGCUAAUGACACAUUUGUACUGCGGUGGAACCGGCCAACUGGCUGCUUCGACAAGUACAAUCUCGAGGUCGCCUAUGAACCUUACAAAUAUUCAACUUUUGAAACGUUGCGUAUUGGUUCAUGUGCCGGGACAACCAUUAUAGAGCCUGACGGUUACAAAUGUUACUUGUUCCAAUCUGCCAGCCUGCGUAAACACCAGUGUAAUCCUGCGCACUCAACGAAAUGGACCGCAUGGACGUGUUUCACGCGGUGAAGCCUUAUUCGUGUAUUCUGAAAAAGGAGCUCUUGUGGACUUUGACCUCUACCUUUCCUGGGUGACAAACACUACGGCUGGAAUUGAAAUAGACACGCAUCGUACAUGGUCCUGCCCACCGCGUGACUGCUGGGCGUUUAUAUGUCAGUUCCACGAGAAUGGAGUGAGGAGUUGUUGGAAGGAGGAGUGUGAGGCCCCUUCAUCAGAUAGCAACGAAAUGUUCGUGAAAUUCAAAAAUCUCACUCCUGGAGGACUUUAUGACGUGCAGAGUUACCCUCAAGUACAACGAUCAAGCUGUAAAACGCAUUGCAUUCAACACCUAUAAAUAGAACACACCCUGUACCAGAUGGCAUGGAAUAAUCCCUGUCACCGGAAAACAGGAGCAACCAAAUGAUCGCUCUCAACUCACGCUCCUUUUAUCUUAGGCUUGUUUCGGAGGUCGUCGCAAUGGUUAAAAAAAGACAAAUGCUGACGAGAUGACACCAAAGAGAAACAAGUACUGUUUCUCUAUAUUCCACCGUAAACAAGACAAUAAAAUUUUUGUCCACCUA